AUACGUAGGGUGCAAGCGUUAAUCGGAAUUACUGGGCGUAAAGCGUGCGCAGGCGGUUUUGUAAGACAGUGGUGAAAUCCCCGGGCUCAACCUGGGAACUGCCAUUGUGACUGCAAGGCUGGGGUGCGGCAGAGGGGGAUGGAAUUCCGCGUGUAGCAGUGAAAUGCGUAGAUAUGCGGAGGAACACCGAUGGCGAAGGCAAUCCACUGGGCCUGCACUGACGCUCAUGCACGAAAGCGUGGGGAGCAAACAGGAUUAGAUACCCUGGUAGUCCACGCCCUAAACGAUGUCAACUGGUUGUUGGGGAUUUAUUUUCUCAGUAACGAAGCUAACGCGUGAAGUUGACCGCCUGGGGAGUACGGCCGCAAGGUUAAAACUCAAAGGAAUUGACGGGG
rnacentral:rRNA from 1 species